UAAACACGAAGCGUUUACAAAUUGUAAAUGAGUAGUUGUUGCGGAUAGAAUUGACAGAAUGUUUAAAUCACCGAUCGAUGGAAAAGGGAAGGGUUCGUAUCCUGUCAAUGGCACAGUCCUGUACCCUUGGUCAACACACCAACUUAAUUGUGGGUGGUUAUUAUACCAAUUGAUACAUCUCAGUUUUUUUAUUAUGUAAAGAAUCAAAUGAACAACCCACAAUAUAUUCCUGGUACACUUAUUUAAUUGCAUUCAAAUUGAUGAAAACCCAAGUGAACACAAGUAAUAUUUGAACUUAAACAUGUCAAUCAGUUAUUCUCAAUAUCUUUUUUGAUUUUGUGGUACCCAGUAUACUAAGAAAAAAAGAUUUUAUAAAAACGGUUUGAAAGAGAAAUUUGUAAAAAUAAACAAAAAAACUGUUGUUUACCUGAUUUGAUUAAGCAUAUUUUGUAUGUGACUAAAUCAUGAAUUGCUCGUUUUUCAAGAUGAUCUAGCAUUUAGAGUUGAUUUUGUAAAACCUUAAAAUAUAUUUUUUUUAAAUCCGUCAGACACCUUGAUACACAAGUCCACUGAGCACACUGCUUGAGAGUCACUGAUGUAGAUAGACAAUACAAAAUUUCAGUGGCCUACUGUUUCUGUCAAAAUUCUUUCACAGAAACCAUUACCACUUGAAAAGAAAGAAAAUAGCAGAGAGGCCAAUCUCACUUUUAAAUGGGGCAAAAUGAAACUAUCCCUGAAGAGUCAGGUAGAGGUAGUGAAUACCUAUGUUUCAAUCCUUAUCUACUACCACUUGACUGUUGUGCCUUUCCCUACUUCAUGGCUGACUAGACUGGAGAACUUGUUUUUCGACUUUCUGUGGAAGGUAUGGGUUCUUCUGUUCAGACAGUCUAUUUACUGUCAACAUCCACUACGUGGAGGGCUAGGCAUGCCAUGGCUAAUGAUGCACAGAUAUGCACUAAGGUUGUUGUUGCUCAUUGUCAGGCUCAUUUUUCCACAGCUCAUAUCUUUGACUGAGAUGCAGUCCUGGAUUAAGCAUAUACUGAGGCAGAGUACCUGGUACCACAGCCUUCUACAAAUUGAGCAAUGCAGUCAGAGGAAGCCAUAUUAUGGUGAUCCAUAGGGAAUUAAUGGCAGGCAAGAGCAACAUCCUUAGGGAGAUUCUGGGUGUCAACAAGAAUGAACUAACUAACUUGUUCUAGAGGAUUUUGGUCCAUGGCCUAUGGAUAAUUUCUAGAAAUCCCUAGACUGGCAGUACUACUUGGUGAAGGGCAUUAGCAGCUCAGGUGUGGUAGUGCCUUCUGCUGACUGCUUGAGAUACACACAGUGACAAAACCAUUUUGCAUGUGCUUGUACAGUGUCCAAGCAUUGCAGACUUGUAACAUUAUGCUAUCACAUAUCAGACAGAUUCAGCUAUCAGCCAACUCCAUUGAGAUCAUCCUGCCACCUUCCUCUGGCUAGGAAAGAUAAGCAGUUUUCCUCUAUCUGCUGGUUAUGGCAAAAGAGAUUGUAUUGUAGAUAAGAUUGAAAGGAUUGGAGACAGACACUUCCCUUUUCAGCCAAGAUCUUACCAACUUUUUUUAAGCUCCUUUUGAAAUUUACCCCUCAGUAAAUUUGUUGAAAAGUAGGUGGAUGUAGCAAGGAUAACAGGAAUGAGUGUGCCUACUCUAAGCUGGCACCUGUUGGAUGGAGUAAAUGAAGAGGAGAGGGGUGCUACCCAGUGAUUCCUUUGGCAACCAUAGUGAUCCUGGAUCUGUGGAGAUCUUUGGUUACCUCUGGGUGGUAUUCACCAUUAUUGAGGAGUUUUGUUUUAAUAUUAAUUGUUAUUGUUUACACAUUAUAUGCACCAACACAGGUGACUUUUACAUGACACCACUACCCACGAAUCUUUCAGGCUUGUGGGUGCUGGUGCUAUGUAAAAAGCACCCAUGCCAGUACCUCAUAAAAGUACCCAUGCCAGUGCUGCAUAAAUGCCCCCAGUACACUCUGUAAAGUGUUGGCAUUGGGAAGGACAUCCAGCCAUAGAAACCAAACAGACAUGGAGUCUGAGCAGCUCUUUAGCUGGCCAGCUCCUAUCGAACUGCCCAGCCCAUGCCAGCAUGGAAAACAGACAUUAAAAGAUGAUGAUGAUGCAAA